rnacentral:lncRNA from 1 species
AUGGAGGAGCAGCUGGGCUGUCUGGACCCCUCCCUGAACCUGGGCUGUCAGCCCUCAGCUCUGCAAGGCAUGUGUCUCCUCCUUGGGCACCGGCCUCUUCCUCGCCUGCCUGCCUGCGGGUGCCUUGAGUGCAGGGCUGUGCUGGUUUUCAGCGUCGGCGAGGGGCAUCUGGUGCCAUCUUCAUGCUCUGCGCACUGCCCCUCGGGUCUGAGACGGGGAUUCUGGCGGGAGACGCGGCCCGUAUGGGACAGAGAACGCGAGGACCUACACCCGGAACCAACAAAAUUCACUGAGAGGGCGUGCCCGAGGAGCCCGGCACAGUGUCCACACACGUGCUGGGGCUUCACAGCCUUUCCAGCUCGGAGCAGCUCACGUGGUCUGCAGCCUGAUUACCUGCUGGAGCUCUGGAGACACCUGCUUCUCCACCAGGGAGGCCGAGCCUCCUGUCAGUCUCCCAGGCCACCAGAUGGCUCCACGCGCACCAUUUGGGGAAGCUGAGGAUGAGAAGUGCCCACCUCCCCGACCUGAGACCCAACAAGUUGUCUG